CGGGGUCACAAGAUCAUAUAACAUAUGCAGAUGUACAUAUAUUACACUUUUCUACAUACAUCUAUACACACGCACCAAUUGUAUACAAUCCAUGUUCCUCAAGGAAGUGGAGGAAAAAAGGGCAGAUGUGAUACUUAAAAAAAAAAAUGGGGGGAAAAAAAAAGAGAACUGUUAGAAGAUAGAAAGCAAGUGGACUAUUAGCAAUUCAGUGUUAUUAUAAGACAAUGAUAUUCCUCAUUUCACUCAUUUAAAACAAAACUCACUGUGCAGUUAGUAACAGACCCAGAGUUAUCCCAUAAAACAAAAAUUCAUUCAUAUUCCCAGUUGAGAGGUGGAGUCCGUACAAAAACACAAGAUUCAGGAUAAACGUGCAUUAAAAUAAGCGGGCAAUA